UGUGUUGCGAUUUCUGGAUUGGAUUACUGCGUGGUGGCGGCCGAUACGAGGUUGUCGGUUGGAUACAACAUUUACACCCGUGAUUACUCGAAGAUCUGCCAACUGUACGAGGCAGAGAAGCUAAACAUAUUCUAGAAAGAACAAAAGUAGGUUUAUUUUACAAAGAACAGAACCUGCUUCUUUACAACACAGUUGACCUUUUUUCACCAUGAAGUUGUUGGAAGACACUCAUUUAGACAGCAUAAAUAUCUUCCUUAGCUGUUUAAAUCUUGGGGAAAGUACUAUCAAAGGGAGUCUUAAUCCCAGGUGGCGCAAGUAUGGACAGAAAUUUGUCAAAGGAAAUCCUAAUCCCAGGUAUGUUUUGUUCCUAUUAAGCUUGUGGAAGGCCAUAACAGUCAUGCUUCGAGAUUGGAGCCAACUGCUGCCCCUUCAUCAUCAGCUUCUUCUGUUUCUGCUUCUGACACUAUCACAUAAUUGAUCUACUGCAACGGUUAAGACGCAACAGUUUUAACUGUUGCGUUAGAUAUCUAUCGUAACGUUUUUUAGGGUGUAAUACAACAUUUAAUAUAAAAUGUUGCCAUAGGUCUAAUAAUUGUUUCUGGGCUUAAUAAUUGUUAGUGGCCUUUGAGCUUGAGUAAAGCCCACUGUUUGACCGCACCGCUUAAACCGCACCAGUUAAAGGAAAUCUCUCUCUCUCUCUCAAAUCCCUAAAAUCGCCGCCGCCAUGGCCAACCAAAACUCCCUAAAAUCGCCGUGGCCAAGAUCUCCCUAAAAUCGCCGUUUUCAGUCAGCGCCAGAGUCCAUUAACUUUCGUCGCCGUUUUCAUCUCGUUGGUUUCAUCGUCGAGCUACUCUCAUUGCUCCAGAAAUAGAGCCCAGUCCUCGCCGGAGCUUUCUAGGGUUUCAGCUGGUACUCGAGCGAUCAUUAUAAGCUGCUUCCUGUUGAUUUACGUGAUGUUGAGCAGUUAGAUAUUAUCUUGAGGCUUGCAAAGUUGGAUCCCAGGUUUGUGAUGAAAUAUUUCUUCACUAUCACUGCAGAAUAUCCAUUUGCAUUAUUACAAGUGUUGCAUGAUAUAGUAAGUUCAGUUCUAAAAUUUCAAAUUUUCAUCUUGUUUGCCGGUGUUUAUUUGGGUUUUCAGUUUUUUCCACAUGUACAGUAAAAAGUACUUAUUAACUGUAGCUGCAUUUAUUAGUUUUGUUAAAACAAAUGUUUGCAACUGAUAGAAACACUACAAUUGUAUGAAAUGCUCAUAUUUGAUUAAAAUGCUAAAGUUACAUGAAGCCUUGGGAUUUUGGUGAAAAUGGAUUUAAGAAAGACUAGCUGACCAAUUAUUAGCUGUCCUUAUCUUGAUUUUGAUCAGAGCAAGGGUGUCUUAUUAAACUUUCUUCUAGCUUGGUAUCAUAUAAGCUCAAUCCUGAACACCUGACACUUCAGUUUUUAUUAUCUAUUUUUCGUGUAUCUAGUACUUAUGUGAUUCUUUUCAUUUAUUACUAGUUAAUCACUUCUCUUUGAGCGAUGGAAACAGUGGGUGAUUCUAGAUCAAGUUCAAAAGAGAAGAGAUCAUUUGAGGUCAUGAGCAAACCUCUUGCAAAGAAGCGUAAAAAGAUCUUUUAUCCUCCUCUACAUGUGACAAAUCUUGCAAGGAUGAAUCAAUCCAAAGCCUGCAGCCAACAGCUUGAUGGAAGCAAUGUACCAAGGAUGAAAAUAAAGCAAAAAUCGCAGUCUCAUAGCCAACAGCACGUUACAAGCAAGUUGACAAAUAGGAUAACGACUUCUUGAUGUCUGAGUUUAAUCAGAUGAGCAAGUCUGAUCCUUCUGUUUUAUUCACUUAAAUUAUUAUAUCUAUAUGCCAUGGUCCUCUUUAAGAUGAUAACUAAUCUUUGCACGAUACUUCUUGGAAACUCUGAUCAAAUUCAGUUCCCUCACUGACUGUCAGAUCAUAAGGUACAUCAUGGAUCAGACUUAAAUUAUCAUAGUUUUUAUAAGUAGGACUCAAGCAGAUUCCCAGCAGUUGAAUAGAACUAAUGGUACAUCAUGGUGAUGGUGAUUUUUGAAUGAAGCUUUGAUGGUGAGCACGGUGAUUCUUGGAAACUAAUAGUUUUAAUAGCUUGCUUUUGAAUGAAGCUUUGAUGGUGAGCACGGUGAUGGUGAUUUUUUGAUGGGAAUGGGUAAGCGAAACAGGACACAUUUUGUUAAUAAUUUGCUUAUGUUCGAAGGUCUACCAUAAAGCUAAGUUUCCAUGAUUGUUAGUUUGGUUUUAAAAGGUGUAAACAAAAAUGAUAGGUUGUUAACUAAGAGAGUAAUGUUCUAAUAAUAGGUGUGGCUUGCUAAUACAAUAAUAUUAUUACCAACCAAAGGCUUGCGUAUACUAUUCACCACGCAUAUAAACACGUCAAAUUUCGUAUUAUUCUACCGGCAUGAAGUAGUAGUUUUCAUCAUGUAUAGGAACAAAUUAAGAGGUUGCAGGCCUUUAUUUAUUUUGAGAGAAACAAUAAUAGUCACCUUGGGCUGUUGUUUCAGAUUGUUUGCUGAAGAAUUUUCAGUCUUUAUUUCUUAUAUAUCCUGUUUUUCAUUACAUCAUUAGCACUACGAGGUUGGCUUUAGCUUAUUUUGAUUAAAGAAUACUUAUUAGAAGUUCUUUGAUUAUGUAGAAAGCAAGUGAAAAGAAUAAGGAAAGUCGAAACAGUCAAACGCUCUUGCACACAGCGGGUUCAAAAAGUUUCGCAAGAAUUCACAGAGAUAUGGAAAAGGAAUUGAACCGGCCUCCAACAGAUGCAGAAGUGUUUAUAGAGACUCGUAAAAAGAAGAAAAAAGCGCAACCAGAAAAAACACUUGACAUGAUUGGUACAUUGGAACAACUAACUCAAGAGCUAACUCAGGAACAAACUGAAGAAGAAAAUGUAGAUGCAUGACAUCUUGUUAAUAAAAAAGAACAUCCUGGACGUGUGCGUCUCCGGGGACGGGCAAUCACUCAAAGCAUGCUACAAAGCAAUAAGGAGAAAGCCAUUGAUCCAUGUGAUCAUGUUUAGUCCGGCUCUAAUAUUCCUUUGAGGUUCGAAAAUUGGGGUCGUGACAGAAUGGUAUUAGGGAUUAGGCUGUAGGUCCUAGUUGAUGUUUUAGAUGGUCAAGUGAUGAAAGAAAAAUAUAUUGGAUUUUGAUGCAUAGAAAUGAAAGUUGAUGUUUUAUUUUGAAGUCUGAUCGAGGAUAAUAUGAAUAUUAUUUGAUCAAAUUUAGUUAAAGAGGUAUAUGAUUUUAGAUUCAUGGAUUACAUAAUUUCUUUUUGUUUAGUUUUUCUAGAGAUAAAGGAAUUAGUUCAGCUUAGUUUUAGGCAUGUUUGACAUAUGUGACUCAUGAAAAUAUCAUCUAAUAAUAUAUGAUAUUAUGAUAAGGAAUAUGCUAAGGAUUAGUUAUUGAUGAUUAUUAUGAUUAAACUUUCAUGCUAAAUGUAUUUAUUUUUGGUGAUGUUAGGUUAUGAUUGCACUUGAUGUGAAAGGUUAUCAAUUUGAGUUUUAUGAGGGAAAAAAAACAAAAUUAAUGGUUUAUUCUGAGAUAUGAUUAUUGUUCGCGGGGAAAAUCGUUGCUUUCUUCAUU